AUUGAACGCUGGCGGCAGGCCUAACACAUGCAAGUCGAGCGGAUGAGUGGAGCUUGCUCCAUGAUUCAGCGGUGGACGGGUGAGUAAUGCCUAGGAAUCUGCCUGGUAGUGGGGGACAACGUUUCGAAAGGAACGCUAAUACCGCAUACGUCCUACGGGAGAAAGUGGGGGAUCUUCGGACCUCACGCUAUCAGAUGAGCCUAGGUCGGAUUAGCUAGUUGGUGAGGUAAAGGCUCACCAAGGCGACGAUCCGUAACUGGUCUGAGAGGAUGAUCAGUCACACUGGAACUGAGACACGGUCCAGACUCCUACGGGAGGCAGCAGUGGGGAAUAUUGGACAAUGGGCGAAAGCCUGAUCCAGCCAUGCCGCGUGCGUGAAGAAGGUCUUCGGAUUGUAAAGCACUUUAAGUUGGGAGGAAGGGCAGUAAGUUAAUACCUUGCUGUUUUGACGUUACCAACAGAAUAAGCACCUGCUAACUUCGUGCCAGCCGCCGCAGUAAUAC
rnacentral:rRNA from 1 species